UUGGAUUUCCAUGGUCUCCUCAACCAGGGCAGCCACAGAGAGACCUCCUGGUAGCAAAGGCCAGCAUCCUGCUUUCCUAAGCAUCUGAAAUGGCCCCUUCAGGUCCAACACCUGAGUCCUUGAGCUGACAAGACAGAAUUUGAGCUUCCAUAUUCAUUUGCUGACUCCUUCCUCUGCUGAGAAGUCUGCUUUUGUGAGAUUUCAUGGCUGACAGUCAUUUGGCUACUUGGGCUGAUCCACAAGACCAGUAGCAUUAUGGGAAGUAGCUGUGAAGGUCAGGAAGAGGCUCCUGAGCACCAGUUUCAAUGAGCAGAGGAACGACAGUCUUUAUAGACCAUUUCAUUCUGGAGUGCCAAGUAAACUAAGGUCCUUGCAGGCAGAGACAUUAUCCAGGACGUUCGGAGCAGAGGCCGUAUAAUUCACCACAUGAAAGAAAACCUUCACUAAGUUAAAAUCUUUGCCGUGCUGGGGCAUUGAAAAUAUUUGGAAAAUAAUCUUCAUUCC